GUGAAUCAUCGAAUUUUUGAACGCAAAUUGCACUCUCUUCGGAGAGUAUGCCUGUUUGAGGGUCAGCCUAAAAAAAAUCGACAUAGUUUCUGUUUCGCAGUGACAUUCGUCGUAAAUUUGGUCAUCUUAAACCUUUUGGUUUUAAGCGGCUUAAACUUUUCUUUACGCUUCCACGAACUUUUCUAAUAUUUACUUACACGUUUCCUGUAUCGUUCUUUAUUAGCCGUUGCCGUUGCUUUGGAUCUCGUCCAUACAUAUGUCUUUAACUG
rnacentral:misc_RNA from 1 species